UACGUAGGGUCCAAGCGUUAUCCGGAUUCACUGGGUUUAAAGGGUGCGUAGGUGGGUUGGUAAGUCAGUGGUGAAAUCCCUGAGCUUAACUUGGGAACUGCCAUUGAUACUAUCAGUCUUGAAUACCGUGGAGGUCAGCGGAAUAUGUCAUGUAGCGGUGAAAUGCUUAGAUGUGACAUAGAACACCAAUUGCGAAGGCAGCUGGCUACUCGGAUAUUGACACUGAGGCACGAAAGCGUGGGGAUCAAACAGG
rnacentral:rRNA from 1 species